CGGACCGGUGCCCGCAGGGCGGUCGGGCUGCCCGGGCCAGGUAUCAGGAGUUGAAAUGACAUGGAAAAGUAUUCAAAGCAUGAACUGUGAAAUUAACUGCUUCCACUUGGUACUGAAGGAAGGUAAACUGAAACUCCAAAAAUGAUGACCUCUUCAUUAGCAAGUUACAGGAAAAGCACAUGCAAGGCAACUAAAUAAGGACUGUGAUAUGAAAGUUUUGUCAGAUAAACUGUCCAAAAGAAGUACAUACUUUUAGGCUGUUACAUUAAAUUAUUGAACUCUUCACUGUAUGACCCUCCCUGAUAUCCAGCACUUCUGCAUAUGAAAUGCUUCAAAAGAAGGAGCUGGUGUGGCUUAUUUGUAACUGAAGUGAAUUACAUUGAAUAUAAAAUAAUGCAGGGUGCAGAGGCCAAUGCAGCU
rnacentral:lncRNA from 1 species